rnacentral:rRNA from 2 species
CCAAUGGCACUGCCCGGUAGCUAAAUGCGGAAGAGAUAAGUGCUGAAAGCAUCUAAGCACGAAACUUGCCCCGAGAUGAGUUCUCCCUGAGACUUAGAGUCUCCUGAAGGAACGUUGAAGACGACGACGUUGAUAGGCCGGGUGUGUAAGCGCAGCGAUGCGUUGAGCUAACCGGUACUAAUGAACCGUGAGGCUUAACCUU